AAACAUUUUCCCUGAAACUUUCUGUUGUGAGGGGAAAGGUAAUGAAAUAAGACAUAUAUAUGUAUGGAUAAUAAUCAAUAUUUUUUUCAUCCAAAUACGCAGCAGUGACUGCCUGGCACUCCUGUGAGCCUUGAUGUUUCGGUAACAGUUUAUGAGUGUAUCCCUUUCCUUGGCUGACACAUUGAGCUGCAUAUGGCACACUUUCUGUACCAGGUAAACACACAGACCUAAACAACUAUGGUGCAGCAGGGAGUAGAGACUCUGCCUGGCAGCCUGGCAAGGCUCCUGCUUCUUGGCAGCCCUCAGACGAGCAAGAGGGUUUUGUGCAGCGCUCCGUGCGCACGGCACUCCGGGUAAGGAGCUAUUGAAACCAACAAAGCUUCACUUAAAUUGAUGGUGUGAAGCCUGGGGUCAGAUCAGAGUGAGGGGUAGCUUGGAAUGCCUGCACCCCGGGAAGAUCUGGCCAAGCCUGAGCUCCAACCAGAAACCUCUGGUGCCUCCAUGCCCUCAACUCUGGAUUUGGGAUCACUGAGGUGCUGCAACAAGCUGCAGAACCCCCAUGAAGGUAUGACAUCAGGCCACCACAAAGCCAUACCAGGAGAGUCUUACAGGGAAAAAGAUGUCAACUUAAGAGCUUUCAACAUUCAGGGGAAUUCAGAAAAGCCAAAACCUGGCAAUGCUUAGACCUUUCAGCCAGCAUCAUUAAGAAACACAUAAGAAAAAUAAGUUUUCUUGGAAGACAGAUCUGCAAGAGCAAGUGCCAAAACACUGAUGGGGAGCUGGAGCACAGUGAUGCCUCAGGCUGGCUGCAGCUGAUUUAGGCAGUUGUUGGCUAAUUCUGGGUGCAUAAAACAUACAGAGCACACAAGAGCCUUC